rnacentral:rRNA from 1 species
UCGGUUGAUCCCGCCGGAGGCUACCGCUAUUGGAGUUCGAUUAAGCCAUGCGAGUCGCGAGUCUUCAAGGACUCGGCGUACCGCUCAGUAACACGUGGGUAACCUGCCCUAUGCUGGGGGAUAACCUCGGGAAACUGAGAAUAAUACCCCAUAGUUCACCACGCCUGGAACGGUGGGUGGAUGAAAGCUCCGGCGGCAUAGGAUGGGCCUGCGGCGUAUCAGGUUGUAGGGGGUGUAAUGUACCCUCUAGCCAUCUACGCGUACGGGUGUUGGGAGACAUCGCCCGGAGAUGGAUUCUGAGACACGAAUCCAGACCCUACGGGGUGCAGCAGGCGCGAAAACUUGGCAAUGCGAGCAAUCGUGACCAGGGAACUCCAAGUGCAUCGGGUAAGACCGAUGCUUUUCUUGACUCUUCAAAGGUCUUGGAAUAAGGGGUGGGUAAGGACGGUGCCAGCCGCCGCGGUAAUACCGGCGCCUCAAGUGGUAGUCGCUUUUAUUGGGCCUAAAACGUCCGUAGCCGGUUUGGUACAUUCGUGGGUAAAUCAAGGCGCUCAACGUCUUGAAUUCUGCGAGCACGGCCAGACUUGGGACCGGGUGAGGUGUGGGGUACUCUCAGGGUAGGGGUAAAAUCCUGUCAUCCUGAGAGGACCACCUGUUGCGAAGGCGCCACACUAGAACGGAUCCGACGGUCAGGGACGAAGCCUAGGGGCACGAACCGGAUUAGAUACCCGGGUAGUCCUAGGUGUAAACGCUGUGGACUUGAUGUUGGGAGUGCUCCGAGCACCCUCAGUGUCGAAGCGAAGGUGAUAAGUCCACUGCCUGGGGAGUACGGUCGCAAGGCUGAAACUUAAAGGAAUUGGCGGGGGAGCACCACAAGGGGUGAAGCCUGCGGUUCAAUUGGAUUCAACGCCGG